GGGGAUCGUUCCCGAGCAGACGGACACGGGGGAGGAGACGGUGGAUGGCUGCGCAGGGUGAUGCGCUCUUCCUCGACCACUACUACCGUCGGGCGCUCCGCGUGCUCAACAACUCCCGCAUCCUCCGCGAGCUCCGGUUCAGGUUCCUCACCGCCAAGUGCCUCGUGAGCUCUACUCCCCGCCCAGCCACCCCCUUUUCCUCUCCCGCAUUUUGUCGAACGAGUUAAGGGCGUCCCUAUUAAGUCCAAUUUCCCUUACCCAGUUCGCUGGAGGUGUUUGAGUUAGGUUGAGCAUUUUGUUGCACAGUACUCAUGUAGUGGCUACAACUGCUGUUUUUUUUUCCUUUGGCCUGUAUCAAAUGACCUGCUAGUGAGCCAAAUGAUUAACAUGAUGCGCUUGUUAGCAUAAGCACUCAGACAUAUUGGGUUCCUAAAAGAGAAUUGCAUUGUGUGUUGUUUGUGUCAAACUGUCAAUAUAACUGAUAUAUGUGUUUUGGACUCCUUACUUGAUCUGUCUCCCUGCAACUUAGACCAUGAGUUGAAUUAUCUAUCUAGUUGGUUAGUUCAGACCAUUUCAUCAGCUCUAUACUUGAGUGAAUCCCAUCAUACUGCAUUGCUAAUCUAACGUUUCUAUAAAUCUAUAUAAUAGAAAUGAUGGGUUUUGUUUGCCUACAGUUGGGAAUAUAACAUAUGAAGUACUAGGCUAUUAAUUCCUUGACAGGUUUGAAAUUCACCAUGGUAAACCUACGGGAACUGCUAAUGAACGUCAACCAAGAUGUUCUCCAAAUCAGAUUUGUUGAUCAUGAUUUAGUAAUGUUUUUUUGCGAAUCUGGUUUAGUAAUGUUACGGGUGCUUUCCUUUCAGUGUUCGACAUCUCAAGAGUGAGGUACUAAGGGAUUUGUCUUCAAUGCAUCGAUUAAUUAGUGCAAUUGCAACUUGAGGUGAUGUGGUGAUACGACCAAUCAACUGGUACUUGAAGUGAUAAACUAGCCUGAGUUGCUUUUCAAGGCAAUGCUUACUAAGGUUACCAUGUGAAAUUGGCAGGAGUUAUAUGGAGAAAGGGCUCACUAUCGGCUAGAUGUUCUAUUGUAUGCGCUUGCAAGAAGGAUAGCUGUGUAGUGGGUACAGCUUUACGGCCCCUCUUGCAUCAGGAAUCUGGGUAUCCUUAUACAAUGGAUUGAUGGGUUCUGUCAACCUACAGUUGGGCUAUUCAUUCUUUUCACAGUGGGUACAACUUCAGGCAUGUCUUGCAUUACGAAUCUGGUGAUCCUUAUACAAUGAUAGGUUUUAAGUAGUCAAUCCAAUCAUAUGCUAUUCACAUGCUCUCCUUAACUUGCAGAAAGUUCCUAGGCCAUUUCUAGCAGAGGCUAUCAACAUUGGACAAGUUUAUGGAGUAUCAUGCUGCAAAUUGAGAGUAGGUUAUUUAGAAGGGUGGACGGCCUUCCACGCAAUGAGUUCAGUCGCUCUGAACUCAAGAAGAUCACAGCUGACACCGUUCUGUGUGUUAUUACAUAUGCACUCUGUGUGUUAUUAUUACACUCCUACAUUAUGUUUGCUAGUGAUUGUAAAUAAGGAUUGUUGCUCCUGCAAUGUGUCUUUAGGAACUACUACGUUUCUUCCGAGAUGUCUGAUGAUUUUGAGAGAUUAUGUCUUGCAUUGCUGUUCUCUGGAGAUAUUAUCGUGUGGAACUUCAAAUAUUGC